rnacentral:misc_RNA from 1 species
GGAGUAAAAGUCGUAACAAGGUCUCCGUUGGUGAACCAGCGGAGGGAUCAUUAGAGGGAGGCCGCGAGGCCUGAAAAAACCCCAAACAACCUCGAGAACUCUACCAAGACGGUUGCUUCGGCGGGCGACCCCAGGGCGGGGUCGUCCGACCGCCCCCGCCGCCUCCGGGCGGCGGUGGCGGGCGGCCCGCCGGAGGUUCUUUUAAAAACCUUCUAUUAUGUAAUACUGUCUGAGCGCCGUGGGAAACAAUAAAAACUCUCAGCAACGGAUCUCUUGGCUCCG